CAGCAGCAGCCACGGGAACACGUAGGGUGCAAGCGUUAAUCGGAAUUACUGGGCGUAAAGCGUGCGCAGGCGGUUAUAUAAGACAGAUGUGAAAUCCCCGGGCUCAACCUGGGAACUGCAUUUGUGACUGUAUAGCUAGAGUACGGCAGAGGGGGAUGGAAUUCCGCGUGUAGCAGUGAAAUGCGUAGAUAUGCGGAGGAACACCGAUGGCGAAGGCAAUCCCCUGGGCCUGUACUGACGCUCAUGCACGAAAGCGUGGGGAGCAAACAGGAUUAGAUACCCCAGUAGUCCCUGUCUCUUAUAC
rnacentral:rRNA from 1 species